UAUUUUAUUUAUAUUUAUCAUUUAUGAUAGCAUUUCUAUACAUAACAUCCAAUUUCCCUCUCGCACUCUCAAAAUCAAAAACCCUAACCUCUGUAGCUCUCACCGCAACGCCACCGAUCCCCAAUCCUCACUAAUCCAAGAAAGUAGAAAAGAAAAAAAAAAUGAGUAGGCGCUCGAGCAGAACUGUCUACGUAGGGAAUCUCCCUGGUGACAUCCGUGAAAGAGAAGUUGAAGAUUUGUUUCUGAAGUAUGGACACAUUACACACAUUGACCUAAAGGUUCCCCCAAGACCCCCAGGUUAUGCGUUUGUAGAGUUUGAAGAUGCUCAAGAUGCUGAGGAUGCAAUUCGUGGGCGUGAUGGCUAUGAUUUUGAUGGUCACCGGUUACGGGUGGAGCCUGCCCAUGGUGGACGUGGUCAUUCAUCCUCAAGAGAUCGAUAUAGUAGUCACAACAAUGGCCGGGCUGGACGAGGUGUAUCUAGGCGCUCUGAAUAUCGUGUUCUAGUCACUGGAUUGCCCUCUUCAGCAUCCUGGCAGGAUCUUAAGGAUCACAUGCGUAAGGCAGGGGAUGUUUGCUUUUCCCAAGUUUUUCAUGAUGGAAGAGGUACUACUGGCAUUGUGGAUUACACAAAUUAUGAUGAUAUGAAAUAUGCUAUCAAGAAGCUUGAUGACUCUGAAUUCCGGAAUGCAUUUUCCAAGGGUUAUGUUCGUGUGAGGGAAUAUGAUUCAAGGCGGGAUUCCUCUAGAAGUCCUAGUCGUGGCCCAUCCCAUUCUAGAGGAAGAAGCUAUAGCCGCAGUCGUAGCCGUAGCCGUAGUUACAGUCGGGGUCGGAGCCAAAGCAAAUCUCCAAAGGGUAAAUCUUCACAGCGUUCACCUGCUAAAUCUAAAUCUCCAUCAAGAUCUCCCUCUCGAUCUCGCUCAAGAUCAAAGUCCCGUUCAUUAUCAGGAUUCCUUCGUGUUUUUUUCUUAGAUAUGGAAACUUGCAGCAUACUGGAAAUUGGAAAUUAGGAACUUGGUGGGAUUUGGUUCAAUUGCCUGCAACUCAUUUUGUUGUGGAGAUUGGGAACAAAGGAGAUCAUGGAUUGCCAUUUUAGAGCUGCAUUGUGUAUAAAGGCAAUUGGGAUUUGAAAAUCACCACCAAUGAGCAUAGGGACAAUUUCAUUUCAAUUGUGGGCUCCAAGAUUUGCCAAGUCAAUAGGAUGCACUAUCUGGAUUCUCUGGAUUUUGUGGUGCAGUAGGGAAGAUUUCUUUUCUCCAGUCAAUCGGAGCCUUAGCAUGUCACCUGAUAUGGUCUAUUUUUAUUUGCUUUUCAUCAUUCUUGCAUAAUGUCUGUUACUUUUCCAUUUUUAGUCUUCUACUUUGUUAGUCUGUUUUUUAUUUUAUGAUGCUUGUUUUUACCUCUCUUGGACAUGUUAACUGUGACAUGGGAGAGGCAUCAAGGCUGUUGGAUCACUAUGAUAAGGGAACUUGUGGAUUUUAAAUUCUGUUGUUUGUGGAACUUUUGCAGAUCACGGUCCAGGUCCAGGUCUCCAUUGCCUCCGCGUAACAAGAGCCCCAAAAAGGGCAGUGCUAGCAGGAGUCCUAGUAGGAGCAGGAGCAGGAGCAAGAGUUUGUCUCGGUGAGCUCUGAUUGUUGCAAUUGAUGCAGUUGUGGGUGAUGGAGAGUGCUACUAAGUUUUUCUAGUAAAAUUGACAUUAGCCAAGAAAAACGCUCAUUUGGGUUUUAUGAUGUUUGAACUCAUUGGAAUUGAACUCGAAACUCCUACCUAUUGGCGCCUUAAUUUUAAUAUUGAGGAUUUUAGUAUUGAGGAUUUGAUGGACCCUAGAUUUAUGUAAGACUGUCGAAUGCCAAACAUUAGCAUUUUGGAUCAUUACGCUGGUUCAUUUGAUAUUGCCCUGGUACAUUAUUAUAAUUAUAGUUCGGUGUAUGAGUUA